AUCGUCUUAGUCAUUUCUGAUUUUUAGUGUAAUGCUUUGAUAGAUGCUUGUUGCAUAAUUUUAUUCAUUGCAUUACAUGUUUAAAUAAUUUUUGGUGCAUUGAAUUUUUGUUUAUUUAAAAAUUAUUUUGAGGAAAGGUGUUUAGGAAUUCAAAAUUUUCGAGAAAAGAGAUGAUUGAGAUCCAUGAUUUUGGAGAGAGAAAUUUUUUUUAAAAAAAGGUGUUUGAACAGUGUUUAUCUUCACAAUGAUAAUUAAGUUAAAUUUAUAUUAAUUAUCGGUUUUACUCCACUUUUUAUUAUUUUGACGAUAAUUUAAUAUAUGAUUUCUUAAUGCAUAUAUUUAUCAAAACUUUGAAAUCAAAUUUGAUUUUUUGGUGAUUAAUUCAUCUUGGUUGUGAGUGUUGGAUAUGAUGAAUGGAUAUUCUCUAAUUGACUAAAAUUCGUCAAAAUUAUUUUCAACUGUGAGAUUGUCUAAUUUAGGGGGAGUUUGAAAUUGUUUAAAAAUAAGAAAAGGGAGAAAAAGAAACUCCUAUGUUUAAAAGAUGUGGAAAGAGUUACAUCCUAAAAGGAGUGUGAAAACUACCACCACAUGUAGGAAAGAGCUAUCACUCCGGUCGUCCGGCAAGUGUGUGAAGCUACCACAUGGAAAUUAAUUGAAAAGUCGAAAAGGUUGGAAAAAGUUUAUAAAUAUUAAAAUUUUCGGAGUUAUAAGAUGGUAAGUUGAAAAGAUGCUCAAAGAGCCACCCCCGGUGCCAUAUUAGUUAAAUCUCUAUUUUGAAUGUGUUGCGACAAAUUGGUGUCAAUUUUGUUGAAUUUCUAAAAAUCAUUUUUCAUCAACUUACAUCUUGAUAGUUUUGAAUCAUUAAAUUAUUUUUGAUAUUGAAAUUUUGAUGUUUCGAUGUGUUUUGAAAUUUUAUAAUAUCUUAUUUUCAUUAUAAUGAUUUUUGGAGUAAAAGUCUUAAUUAUAUGAAUUUAAUUUAAAUUUGAUGGGUUUUUAAAUGAUAUUUUUUGAAAUUUUUUUUUUACAUUUUGGUCCUUGUACCGGUACAAGAAACCGUGUUCCGAUACAAGGUCUGCGGCUGAGCGGCUUAUAUACGGGUAUAACGCUUCGAUCUCUCUCAAAUUUCCAUCUUUUUCGAAA
rnacentral:lncRNA from 1 species